GAUGAACGCUGGCGGCGUGCCUAAUACAUGCAAGUCGAGCGGACGGACGAGACGCUUGCUUCUCUGUUGUUAGCGGCGCACGGGUGAGACACACGUGGAUACCCUCCCUAUCUGACUGGGAUAACUUCGGAAAUCCGGAGCUAAUACCGGAUGAUAUUUUGAACCGCAUGGUUCAAAAGAGAAAGACGGUCUUGCUGUCUCUACUCGCUGGUUCCGCGCUGCAUUAGCUAGUUGUGACGGUAACGGCUUACCACGGCAACCAUGCAUAGCCGACCUGAGAGGGUGAUCGGCCACACUGGAACUGAGACGCGCACCAUGCUCCUACGGGAGGCAGCAGUAGGGAAUCGUCGGCAAUGGGCGGAAGCCUGACGGAGCGACGGCACGUGAGUGAUGAAGGUCUUCGGAUCGUAAAACUCUGUUAUGAGGGAUGAACAUAUGUGUAAGUUAAUGUGCACAGCUUGACGGUAACGAAUCAGAAAGCCACGGCUAACUACGUG
rnacentral:rRNA from 1 species